GCCUAACACAUGCAAGUCGAACGAAGCGAUUUAACGGAAGUUUUCGGAUGGAAGUUGAAUUGACUGAGUGGCGGACGGGUGAGUAACGCGUGGGUAACCUGCCUUGUACUGGGGGACAACAGUUAGAAAUGACUGCUAAUACCGCAUAAGCGCACAGUAUCGCAUGAUACAGUGUGAAAAACUCCGGUGGUACAAGAUGGACCCGCGUCUGAUUAGCUAGUUGGUAAGGUAACGGCUUACCAAGGCGACGAUCAGUAGCCGACCUGAGAGGGUGACCGGCCACAUUGGGACUGAGACACGGCCCAAACUCCUACGGGAGGCAGCAGUGGGGAAUAUUGCACAAUGGGCGAAAGCCUGAUGCAGCGACGCCGCGUGAGUGAAGAAGUAUUUCGGUAUGUAAAGCUCUAUCAGCAGGGAAGAAAAUGACGGUACCCGACUAAGAAGCCCCGGCUAACUACGUGCCAGCAGCCGCGGUAAUACGUAGGGGGCAAGCGUUAUCCGGAUUUACUGGGUGUAAAGGGAGCGUAGACGGUAAAGCAAGUCUGAAGUGAAAGCCCGCGGCUCAACUGCGGGACUGCUUUGGAAACUGUUUAACUGGAGUGUCGGAGAGGUAAGUGGAAUUCCUAGUGUAGCGGUGAAAUGCGUAGAUAUUAGGAGGAACACCAGUGGCGAAGGC
rnacentral:rRNA from 1 species